rnacentral:rRNA from 1 species
AGAUAAGAUAUCUUAGAGCCGUGGAAGACCACCACGUUGAUAGGCCGGGUGUGGAAGUGCGGUAACGCAUGAAGCUAACCGGUCCUAAUUGCUCUAUUCGCGCUUGAGA